GUAGGGAAUAUUGGGCAAUGGAUGCAAGUCUGACCCAGCCAUGCCGCGUGGAGGAAGAAGGUCCUCUGGAUUGUAAACUCCUUUUUUGGGGGAAGAAUAGUUCUCUUGCGAGGGAAUGUGACGGUACCCUAAGAAUAAGCCACGGCUAACUACGUGCCAGCAGCCGCGGUAAUACGUAGGUGGCAAGCGUUGUCCGGAUUUAUUGGGUUUAAGGGGUGCGUAGGUGGUUUGAUAAGUCAGUGGUGAAAGCUGGUUGCGCAACAAUCAAGUUGCCAUUGAUACUGUCGGACUUGAGAGAAGUGGAGGUUCAUGGAAUGGAUGGUGUAGCGGUGAAAUGCAUAGAUAUCAUCCAGAACGUCGAUUGCGAAGGCAGUGGGCUGUACUUUAUCUGACACUGAGGCACGAAAGUGUGGGGAUCAAACAGGAUUAGAAACCCUUGUAGUCC
rnacentral:rRNA from 1 species